UAAUGUAUUUAUUAUUUAUUUGAGUAGUAUUAGUUAUGAUCUUGAAACUUAAAAAAUUUGGCGGUAUUUUAGUCUAUUCAGAGGAACCUGUAUAUUAAUUGAUAUUCCACGUUGAAUCUUACUUAAAUUUGUUUUAGUUUAUAUAUCGUCGUUAUAAGAAUAUUUUUUAAAAAUUAAUAAUUUUCUUUAAUUUUUAUAAAAAUUUAUAUCAGAUAAAGGUGUAGCUUAUAUUUAAGUUUUAUUAUGGGUUACAAUAAAUUAAUUUAAAUGAAUAUAAAAUUGAAAUGUUUUAUUGAAAGUGGAUUUGAUAGUAAAAUAAUAUAGAUAAAUUAUUUGAUUUUAGCUAUAAAAUAUG
rnacentral:rRNA from 1 species